rnacentral:rRNA from 1 species
UACGUAGGGUCCAAGCGUUAAUCGGAAUUACUGGGCGUAAAGCGUGCGCAGGCGGUUCGUUAAGUCAGCUGUGAAAGCCCCGGGCUCAACCUGGGAAUUGCGGUUGAAACUGGCGAACUAGAAUCUGGCAGAGGGGGGUGGAAUUCCACGUGUAGCAGUGAAAUGCGUAGAGAUGUGGAGGAACACCGAUGGCGAAGGCAGCCCCCUGGGUUAACACUGACGCUCAGGCACGAAAGCGUGGGGAGCAAACAGG